UACGAAGGGGGCUAGCGUUGCUCGGAAUCACUGGGCGUAAAGGGUGCGUAGGCGGGUCUUUAAGUCAGGGGUGAAAUCCUGGAGCUCAACUCCAGAACUGCCUUUGAUACUGAGGAUCUUGAGUUCGGGAGAGGUGAGUGGAACUGCGAGUGUAGAGGUGAAAUUCGUAGAUAUUCGCAAGAACACCAGUGGCGAAGGCGGCUUACUGGUCCGGAUCUGACGCUGAGGCGCGAAAGCGUGGGGAGCAAACAGG
rnacentral:rRNA from 1 species